rnacentral:rRNA from 1 species
AGAGUUUGAUCAUGGCUCAGAUUGAACGCUGGCGGCAGGCUUAACACAUGCAAGUCGAACGGUAACAUAAAGAAGCUUGCUUCUUUGAUGACGAGUGGCGGACGGGUGAGUAAUGCUUGGGAAUCUAGCUUAUGGAGGGGGAUAACUACGGGAAACUGUAGCUAAUACCGCGUAAUAUCGAAAGAUUAAAGUGUGGGACCUUCGGGCCACAUGCCAUAGGAUGAGCCCAAGUGGGAUUAGGUAGUUGGUGAGGUAAAGGCUCACCAAGCCGACGAUCUCUAGCUGGUCUGAGAGGAUGACCAGCCACACUGGGACUGAGACACGGCCCAGACUCCUACGGGAGGCAGCAGUGGGGAAUAUUGCGCAAUGGGGGAAACCCUGACGCAGCAACGCCGCGUGAUUGAAGAAGGCCUUCGGGUUGUAAAGAUCUUUAAUCAGGGACGAAACAAAUGACGGUACCUGAAGAAUAAGCUCCGGCUAACUACGUGCCAGCAGCCGCGGUAAUACGUAGGGAGCAAGCGUUGUCCGGAUUUACUGGGUGUAAAGGGUGCGUAGGCGGCUUUGCAAGUCAGAUGUGAAAUCUAUGGGCUCAACCCAUAAACUGCAUUUGAAACUGUAGAGCUUGAGUGAAGUAGAGGCAGGCGGAAUUCCCCGUGUAGCGGUGAAAUGCGUAGAGAUGGGGAGGAACACCAGUGGCGAAGGCGGCCUGCUGGGCUUUAACUGACGCUGAGGCACGAAAGCGUGGGUAGCAAACAGGAUUAGAUACCCUGGUAGUCCACGCUGUAAACG